UAGGCUCGGACACUGUAGGAGGCAGAUCCU
rnacentral:piRNA from 1 species